UUUACAGUCUGGGUUGAGCUACAGUGUCGGCAGCACAGAGAAAUGAUUUUACAUUUGUGUGACAGGAAGAUAAAAAUAGCUAAAAUGCCUAAUUUAUCAUGAAGUUAGCAUGCCAAUAGAACGAACUCAACAAUAACUGAACAAAGUUGGCUUGCACUACCUGGCUAGCUAGCAUUAGCCGGCUAACGUGACUGCCAAAUAUCUUUAUAACUAAACCUCAUUGUUCUGUGUUACUGCUGACUAGCUAGCAGGCUGGCUAGCUACAGUAUAUAGCCCUAUCUGGCUAUGGCUAUAGUCAUGCUAGCUAGUGGAAGUAAGUUAGUCCCUCAUGCUAGCUAGUUGUAGCUAGGUAGUGGAUGUAAAUUAACAGUCCCUCAACCUGCUGCUAAAAGAUGAAGCCGCCCGGCCAGAGCGAGGUAACGUUAGCUCCUGCAGAAAGGACCAUUCAGGGUCCACUCACUCAGCCCUAUCCACAAGCUCUCAAGGUCCAUUACUAUUUCCUCCUACAACACCCUGAUGAGAAGCAAAAAGCCUGGUCCAGUGACUGGCCCCACAGGCCUGGCACCCCUGGCCUGUGGGAGAGAGUUGGCACAGAACUCAUCAGUGCCCAGCAGAGGGUCCACCAGAAACUCUGGGGGCAGCCCUGGCAGUGAUGAAGGAUCUCCUACCUUGACAUUUUUUCGAAACCAUUUUUCCAGUGUUUAAGUUUUCUGAAAGUUAAGCACACAAUAUGCUACAGUUCUACAGCUACAGUAGAAUUCAAAAUGUGUUUGACAGUAGUCAACAUGCUCCAUUAUAGGCCAUAACAAGAUGCAUUGUCACAGCUCAGUGAUAUCACUUGCAGAUGUUUGUAGAUCAACCAGUGUCCUGUUUAUUUUUUUCAUUGAGUUUAGAAACAAAAUUAUAUAUGUCAUUCAGUCGUGGCUUGUUAGCUCUGAUAAAGACUUYCUCAUGUACAUGUAUGUGUCUAAUAACUCCUUAUUACAUAUCACAGUGGACUCAGGUUAAUAGAGAGUAUAAAAGCUUUGAAACAACUGCAGCAAAACCUAACCUAGACUAGUUUACUGGCUAGUCUUUCACUCUCAGCUUUGUUUGACAGUUCAGUCUGUCACCACGAUAGGCCAUAUCAAGACGUAUUGUCAUAGCAUUGAUAUCACUCGUAGAUAGGUGUAGAAUGGCGCAUUGCCAGUAUCUGUUAUUAUUAAUAAAUACAGUGCUUUUGGAAAGUA